rnacentral:rRNA from 1 species
GUUGAACGCUGGCGGCAUGCUUUACACAUGCAAGUCGAACGGUAACAGGUUAAGCUGACGAGUGGCGAACGGGUGAGUAAUGCAUCGGAACGUGCCCGAUCGUGGGGGAUAACGCAGCGAAAGCUGCGCUAAUACCGCAUACGAUCUGAGGAUGAAAGCGGGGGACCGUAAGGCCUCGCGCGAUCGGAGCGGCCGAUGUCAGAUUAGGUAGUUGGUGGGGUAAAGGCUCACCAAGCCAACGAUCUGUAGCGGGUCGGAGAGGACGACCAGCCACACUGGGACUGAGACACGGCCCAGACUCCUACGGGAGGCAGCAGUGGGGAAUUUUGGACAAUGGGCGAAAGCCUGAUCCAGCAAUGCCGCGUGCAGGAAGAAGGCCUUCGGGUUGUAAACUGCUUUUGUACGGAGCGAAAAGGCUCUCUCUAAUACAGGGGGCUCAUGACGGUACCGUAAGAAUAAGCACCGGCUAACUACGUGCCAGCCGCCGCCGUAA